CCUUGCUGGAGAGGUGAUACAGUCAUUUGGAGGAAAGAGGGUUGCUGUGGUAUGCUGGGGUUCCGCUUCAAUGCCUAGUCACCUCAGAUUUUCCUGUACCUGCAGGUAUCACCAGUGAAGCCUGCGAAGCAGCAAAGAUGGCAGUCUGCCCCGUCUUCUAGGAGCUCUGUCACAGGGAGACAAGCCGUGCUGUGCUGGCGGACCACUUCAGCUCAUGGUCACCUCAGACACUCUGAAGCCUGAAGGCUGGAACAACUAAAUUGCCCAAACAGCAAAUAUGACAGCAUCUACAGAAAUCAUUUUAUUUGAGUUAUGUAGCAAGAACCCAACUUAAGCAAAUAUAAAAUUUACAACUAAGUCACUAUUUGGAUAUUAAUGUGUAUGCUAAACUGAUUUGUUCAUGGGCUAGUCAGCUAUUCAUAUGAUCUUUACAAUUUUCUGAAUUCCAUUUUUUGGUUAAAAAAAGAAAACAAGCUGAUACUUUUAUCACUUUCUAAGAAACAUUUGAUUUAAAUUCUUAUGCCUUCAAUAUCUCAUGUAAAAUGCUAGUUUCAUUACUACUGUAAGUAAAUAUGUGUAAAACAGAAAGUAUCUGAGACAAGUCUCAAUCAGUUUUGAAGUUUAUUUGGCCAAGGUUAAGGAUAUGCCCAGAAGAAAUAAACAUGCAAUCACAGAAACA
rnacentral:lncRNA from 1 species